rnacentral:rRNA from 1 species
GACGAACGCUGGCGGCGUGCUUAACACAUGCAAGUCGAACGAAGAGCGAUGGAAGCUUGCUUCUAUCAAUCUUAGUGGCGAACGGGUGAGUAACGCGUAAUCAACCUGCCCUUCAGAGGGGGACAACAGUUGGAAACGACUGCUAAUACCGCAUACGAUCUGACCUCGGCAUCGAGGAUGGAUGAAAGGUGGCCUCUAUUUAUAAGCUAUCACUGAAGGAGGGGAGUGCGUCUGAUGAGCUAGUUGGAGGGGUAACGGCCCACCAAGGCGAUGAUCAGUAGCCGGUCUGAGAGGAUGAGCGGCCACAUUGGGACUGUGACACGCCCCAGACUCCUACGGGAGGCAGCAGUGGGGAAUCUUCCGCAAUGGACGAAAGUCUGACGGCGCAACGCCGCGUGAGUGAUGACGGCCUUCGGGUUGUAAAGCUCUGUUAAUCGGGACGAAAGGCCUUCUUGCGAAUAGUUAGAAGGAUUGACGGUACCGGAAUAGAAAGCCACGGCUAACUACGUG